GCUCAGGGGGCCACCUUCCUCAGGUGGGGCACAUACCGACUCACCUGAGUCGCACCAGCAAGCGAGUGUAUCCACAAGCCAGUCUAUAGCUCCUGUUUGUGUAGGCCAUCCUGAGCCAGAGGCUCCUGGGACGACUACCCUGAGGGGGUGAGAAGGCCCCUCCUGAGCGGGGACUCUGGUUUUCCUGAUGUGACAGCCGGCACACCUCCCCUCUGGCAGGUCGCUGAGCCGAUCCUCAUCUGUUGCUUCCUUCCUGUGACAGAGCCCAGCUGGACCUGGGGCCCAAGCUCUGCCCCUGGGAUCUGUCCUGCGGCACCUGGUGAGUCUGACGGAAGAACGCAGACAGCUGCCUCCCCUUCUUCUAUUCGAAUCCCAUCCAACUGUGUCAGCGUCCCAGUUCCCAGGCUCCCCUGGAGGCAAGGGUCUGGGGGAGACUGUUUCACCUCCGAACUUACUUACCCAUCUGUGGAGGCAAAAACCUGGAGUUCAAGCCACCCCCUGGUUCCGUCCUUCUGAUGAGAACUAUCAGCAAAAAUUCAGACAAAGGCAGCUCUACAGCUGUUUGUGGCCCUGGGACCCCAGCAUUCUGUGUGUAAACAUGUUCCCCUCGAAAUAACAGAUGGUUUGUGCAAAGAGGUUUCUGGCAAGGUGAUUAAGAGCAGAGGUGGGCACUCUGCCUUGAAUGCUGAGCGGACAGGACUCUGCCCUUCAUAGCUCUCUCCCAUUUGGCCAGGUUCACUGCUUUGAGAGUGUCCCCCCACCCCCCGUUACGAUCUCUUAUCAUUACCGGUACCUGUGGGGCAAGAGGACCAGGAGAAUGAUCAUCCCCAUUUCUCCCAUGAAGAAACCAAGGCCAAGGUUAUAUACAGCUUAUUGAAGUCCAGGGCCCAACUCCACCCCUCCUGACCCUUAAUCUAGUGGUCUUUUCACCAACCCAGGCCCCAUGUAUGAACAAAUUAGCAAUUAAAAAGCAUGGGCACGCGAGGCCUGGGAAUGUACCUGUGAAUGAACACCAAGGAGAUCAGUCAGACCAGGAGAUGGGCGACAGGGCAGGGGCCUGCAUGUAAACCCUGCAAAUGAAACUCCUAAAUGCUGAGAAAUGAUUGGACCUCGUCCCACUGGGGGCCCCUUUUCUUCCAGGCGCUUCUGUGAAAACCACUUUAAGGAGCAGAAAACCAUAAUUACUACUUGGGAUGACAGAACACUUAAGGGACGUGUCCAAGUGCUGAGGGUGGGCUCACGCAGCCAGAAAAAGCAAAUUCAAUGUCAUAAUUCCCUAUUUGGGGAACUAGAAUUAAGUACCUGUUGUUUUUGUAAUUCAGACCGCAGCAAGAGAAGCCUGGCCUAACCUCCGUGGCUGGGAAAGGCCCAUCAGAGCGCAGUGAAUUCUUAAGCAGGGAGAGCUCCCACUGCCAGGGGGGGAGCGGGUGUUUGCAGGACACCCAGGGCCUGAGACUGGAGAGGUUUGGAGGUUUAAAUAGGUUAAGAAAUUCUGGAAAUUAAAUGCCCUUUAAGGCUCUCUGAAUUCUGCCAGUCUGUGUAACAUUCUCUUGAUGAUUAUCGAUCGUGGGAAGAGAAUUUCCAGUAUGAUGUGAAGUCAGAAUCUCAUGCUCAUUUUAAGACACCCCUGCCUCCCCCACCUGCCCACCAUACAAACACAAAGGGCUGGAGAUGGCCAACUUUAGACUGAUUGGUUAACCCUGGUUCAGGCUGCAGAACCGUAACAGCCGCAGGCCAUAGUCAACGCCCCUCCCUGAUGCUCCAGCACCUAUAGAUUUAGGAAUGGUUUGCUGUGAUCUUGGCUGGGUAGCUCAGUUCGUUGGAACAUUGUCCAGAUGCCACAAGGUUGUUGGUUUGAUCCUCAGUCAGGGCACACACAAGACUCAACCAUGAAUACCUAAAUAAGUGGAACAACAAAUUCGUGUUUCUCCUUCACUCUCUGUGGACCUUGCCUACUCACUCCUUCCUUUACUUAUUAGGACUCAGCAUAACUGUUCCUAAUAACUUUUUCUCCAGUGUUUUAACAUCCAGAUCUCCCCUGGAGUAUGAACUGCGUGAGGGUGGGUACCGGGUCUUUCUCACACGGGGCAGUGCAGUGCCUGGCACCUGGUGGAUCCUGCUGAGCGUGUGCUGAGGGGGUGCGUCCUCCCCUGCCCCGGCCUCUCUGUUGGGCGGACCAGCCACGCCUCAAGCUCUGAGAGCAGGCGGCAAACAUUCAAAGCUGAUGCUCUGGACAAAUGUUUAGGCCACGGCCUGUGGCCCUGCCCCCGGCACUCGUUCCUCCUCCUUUGUCUUCUUCCACAGGCGCCUUGGGCCCUUUGACUCCCCGCCCUACCCCGUCCCCUUGGCCCCUCUCAGGCCAUAGCACUGUCCAGGCUCUGCUGUCCCCAUGGCAGCUGACGUGCCUUUUCUACCCCUGGCCUUUUUUCCACUUCCCCAGAAGAGGGACAGUGUCGGGGUGACUUUCCUCCCAAGUCCCUCCAGCUGCCAUGGAUGAAAGUAAACAUGACUGAGACAUGAUGUGACCUGCUUGGGGAGGAGAAGUGGCCAUUUUCCCAGAGGAAAAAGGCCGUGAGCAGUGACCAGUUUCUCAAGGGAAAAAGGCGUUGAGCUCCCUCCUCCAGCGGCUUUUAUUGGGUUGUAAUACACAGGAAUACGGGGCAGCAAGGAUCAAAGAGUAGAUAACAUUUCAAAGAAAUCUGAGGGCUUAGUUUGAGUCAGAGUCUGUCAAGAACAGAGUUUUAGGGUUGCUUGCUCGAACCCUUACCUUAUGAAUGAAAGCACUCUUAGCAGAGCAGAUUUCACAGGUUUAUCAGGAAGUCUUUGUGAUGCCAGAUUUUCCCCCAGAACACACUCUAGCAAGGCAAGGAGCUGCACCUCUCUCCAUCAGGUAUUCAGGCUUUAAGGGGAUUAGAGCCAGGAAGCGCUUCUCCCAGAGAACAUGGGGAAUUGGGCUAUGUCAAAGCUGGGGGGCGAGAGUCCAUUGCUCUCUGUUGCAGCCCUGCCCCACCCCCCAGUCCUUCCAUGAAGGCCUCCCAAGUGAUAGAGUCUGGCUUAGGUUGCCCCCGCUGUGAGGGGUCUUACCCAUCAUUGACGUCCGACCAAACUUUGGGGGCAGGGAGAGGAACUGAGGCAGUGUUUGCUUCUGUUGAGAUCUGGAAAAUUGAGAACAUAGCCUGACCACAGCAAAGCAGGAACAAGGAGCAGCAUGCAAACAAAGGCUGAGCAGACAUCCUGCAGUGUGUGAGUGCCCUACUUAGAGUGAGAUAGGCAGAUUGUAAUCUGUUUAAUUUUGAAUUUUGAAACCCCACCCUGUUCCCGCCCGUGGUCUCUGUCAGCAAAUAGCUAACUGCCACGUCUGCUUCUGUUCAACGCUUGUUUGCGCGUCCCUAUAUAAGGACUUAGCUGUAAGCACUCGGCGCCGUUCUCAUCUGCAGCCCUUUUGGGCACUGUGUCUCCAGACACCCUGAGAGUUCGCCCCUGGGCAGGUUAAGCUUGGCCAAUAAAAUAAGAUCAAAACCCUGAAAGAUGUUCGAAAAUUAUGCUUGCGUCCGAUGAAUAUAACACUACCAAAGACAGGCUUUGC